AAAGCCCUAGCUUAAUUAAAGCAUUUGAGUUGCAUUCAGGAGAUGCAGGGUAAAGUCCUGCGGGUUUUA
rnacentral:tRNA from 1 species